rnacentral:rRNA from 1 species
GGCGUAGGUGGCCUAACAUGUCAACUGUGAAAACCCGGAGCUCAACUCCGGACUUGCAGUUGAAACUGGUAGGCUUGAGGACGGUAGAGGAAGACGGAACUGCCAGUGUAGGGGUAAAAUCCUUAGAUAUUGGCAGGAACGCCGGUGACGAAGGUGGUUUUCUGGGCCGGUUCUGACACUGAUGCUCGAAAGCCAGGGGAGCGAACG